AUUUCCCAGAUGGAAGAUGUUACAGUUCAGCUGGCAGAAAUAUUGAACGAAGUCAACAACUUCCUUCAAAGUGACUUUCGACAAGGACCGCCCUGCAAAGAGCCCAGAGUGCACAAUCCUUACAUGAGGGCGCGAGGAUGCCAAGGAUCUCACUGGUGAUGCUGGAUUUAAAGAUCGGGUGCCUUGGUGCAGCUGCUGUGACUGGAGACCUUGUUCAACUAGAAGCCCAAGAGUAGGCUGGAGAAACAGAGCAUUACCUUUUGCAUGUGUGAGGCAACAAUAAACACCCCUGGAAUGCUGUUCCUCA
rnacentral:lncRNA from 1 species